rnacentral:lncRNA from 1 species
UCUUCGGAAAAGAGUAGGGGAUUGUCUCCCAGUGUACUGCCCAAUCACCACCAGAAGGACCCACUGGAAAUAAGUCUUCUUCUAGACUUUCGUGGGCUAUCCUUGGUGUUUACACCGAAUAAAUUUAAUCCAAUCCAGAAGUUUUUAUACCAGCACGAUUCAAUAAUGAUUUAUCGUGUAUACGAUACGAUAUUUUUGAAAACCGUAUAAACGAUAAAUCGUUAUCGAAUCCUAGUGUAAAAGCUUCUCCAUAUAUUUUCUAUAUAAACAAUUGCUUUUUAGAUUUUUAUCGUUGAAAGUUAUCGUCGUAGUGUAAUCAGGCCUUAAAUCAUUAACUAAUAAGAGACUAUAAUAAAUGUGUUUGGUUUUCAACUACUCUUAAAUUAUUGUUUAAUCAAUAACUAAUGAGAGAUAAAUAAAAUAUGUUUGUAUAUUAAAUCCAAGUUUCAUUGCAACUUGUGUACCACUGGUUGAAUAUGUAGUCGGUGUAAGCAUCCAGCCAGAGCAUUUGAGAUCUGUUAUAAACAAUUACAGUAACUGUAUAAUUAUAAGUAAGUUCAGAUGUUUAUUUGAUUACUUGUAUAAUAAUAAUAAUUAUUAUUAUUAUAUGAUCUUAUUGUGUAAUUGUAAUUAUUUUCAAUAUAUCUGUUGUAUUUGAUUUAUUAUAUGAUUAUGCCUACCGAAGAGCCAGGAGAAUAAAUUAUAUGUAACUAAAAUAUCAGUCGCCAGGGUUGUGAGUGUUGUUAGCUUGGUAAUUUAAAUAAAGUGCUUGCAUUUUGUCAGCGGUCGGAGAGUUGCAGCUUAAUUAUUGAAAGUUCUGUUUCUGUGUUUUUGCUUAUUUAUUGCACAAUUUUGGGUUCAACCCCAUCAUGGAGAUUCUAGAUAUAUAUAUUUUUUUUAAUGUAGAGUGCACCUACCUGCACUAGGUCUAAUGUAGACCUUAAUUUAUAAUAGCACAAAUAAAUUUAAUAAGAGCCAGAGGAACAUCAAUUGAGGAGGUUUGGGGAAUGCCAUAAAUUCACCCCCCCCCCCCUACCACUAGAUAUCUGAGUAAAAAAAUUACACUCAAGUAGUUAAAAGUCAACUCCCUUCACCUUAUUUUACCAACUAUAACGGCCAAGCUUACAGUAGUCAUCGAGGCUACACUUAACCUGUGUGAGUAGUCAUUGAGGCUACACUUGUGGUGCCCUUAUGCCACUAAUAAUUUCCAGUAGGUAACUGUUUAGUGUUAAUGAAUGUUACAAGAUAAUAAGAUAUAAAUUAUUAUAGUAUAUUAUGAAAAGUAAAUUGAUAAUUGAAAUAAAUUUUAUGAUGCUAUUUGAGAUAUUACUGUACUGAUGUUUAUUUUUCAACUAGCAAUUGUAAUACAAUAUCGCAUACAUAUAGUGCGAGCAUAGAUCUAUUUUAUCUUGUAGCUCCAAGGUGCGUCAGCUAUGCACGGCUUCACGACCGAUUGCAGGGCAGUGAGUUUAAGUUAUUUUACUACAUUUUCAGCAGGUUAAAAUUUAAAUGCAAGCCUACAAAAUACAGUAUGUUCACUGUAUCUGAGGGAUAGUGGUUUGCAAUAGGAAUGCUAAAGACCUUCAAAUUAAAUACCACCUCCAAUUAAUGACCACUUUUCUGUGGUCCCAACUAAAUACAUGUCUAUCUUUAUUAUUCUAAUCAAAGACAAUAGAAACCCUCGUCCUAAAGGUUGUCUUUAAGUGGAGGAAGACUUGCAUUUAACUUUAUUUCCAGAAAAGUCAUAUUUUUUUUUAUUAAAAUGUUCAUAAAUAUCUUAAUAUUUUAUUUCAUAUAUUAUUUUAUUUGAAGAGGCAUUUUCAUAGAGUACAGUGCAAUUGUAAUAUUGUAAUGAUUAAGACAAUCAGUGAAUGUGUUUCUGUAAAGACUGUUUAGCUUAGCAGCCAACCACAAUUUCGAGAUUCAGGAUGUUGAAAUUUUUAAUAAGCAUUUAAUUGAUGAAUGUGGGCCAAUGUUAAUGUCACAAUAUUUCUACUCGUAUGUCUUUGAAAGAAGACCUUUCUACAUGCGCUAUGUGCAAUAAUUUUGUAAUUGUUGAGCAAUAGAUACAUUUCAAUAUGUGGAUGAUCUAAUAUUCUAGUUUUUAUUAUCACAUAUUUCUGUUAUACUUACUUCCAUGAUUACUGUAUUUGCAUUAUACUCAGAAAUAAAUAAAGUAUUUGAGAGGAUAAACAUUAUGGAUUAAUAGUUGUUUACUUUUGUGUAAAUUAAAUUUUAAAUGUUUUUAAACAGUAUUACAAAAUAAUUCAUCAAACGGCAAAAACCUGAAAUAUCACGCUAGUGUUAAACGAUACUGUUUAGGAAUUGAUAAAUAUAAAUGUUUUGAUGGCUUAAUCUUGCAUUGCUUCCACAAACAUUCAUCUUAUUUGCAUUCUACUGAUAUAUGAAUAAAGUAUUUGAGAAGAUACAGAAA